CACUAAAGUCGGGCAAGCCUGUAUCUCUGUGUUCUGCCCUGGAUAUAGGAGUAAAUGCUGGCAGUGGCAUCCCGAAGCAGCGCAUGUGGGACGGCAUCAAUGAUUGCUGCAGUAACAGAGAGGAUGAGUUUUUGCAGCUGUGUGGCAUUGAGGAGUGCCGGGAGAAGAAUGUAGGGUGUGUGUGAGUCUAUUUACAUCAACACUCGAGAGUCACACUACUGCCAGUGCCGGCCAUGCAGGGUACAGACUCGUGUCAGAAAGUUGAAUUGUGAAGACGUUGACGAGUGCGUGGAGUCGCCCAGAUCCCAUCCCCUCAGCAGUGUUCGAUCC